AUUGAACUCUUUCUUUAGGCCUAACACAUGCAAGUCGAACGGCAGCACAGUAAGAGCUUGCUCUUACGGGUGGCGAGUGGCGGACGGGUGAGGAAUACAUCGGAAUCUACUUUUUCGUGGGGGAUAACGUAGGGAAACUUACGCUAAUACCGCAUACGACCUACGGGUGAAAGCAGGGGAUCUUCGGACCUUGCGCGAUUGAAUGAGCCGAUGUCGGAUUAGCUAGUUGGCGGGGUAAAGGCCCACCAAGGCGACGAUCCGUAGCUGGUCUGAGAGGAUGAUCAGCCACACUGGAACUGAGACACGGUCCAGACUCCUACGGGAGGCAGCAGUGGGGAAUAUUGGACAAUGGGCGCAAGCCUGAUCCAGCCAUACCGCGUGGGUGAAGAAGGCCUUCGGGUUGUAAAGCCCUUUUGUUGGGAAAGAAAAGCAGCAGGUUAAUACCCCGCUGUUCUGACGGUACCCAAAGAAUAAGCACCGGCUAACUUCGUG
rnacentral:rRNA from 1 species